CCCCUAGAUGUUCUGGGCCGCACGCGCGCUACACUGAACAGUUCAACAAGUCUUAACCUUGGCCGAUAGGUCUGGGUAAUCUUUGAACGCUGUUCGUGAUUGGGAUAGACCUUUGCAAUUAUGGGUCUUCAACGAGGAAUUCCUAGUAAACGCAAGUCAUCAGCUUGCAUUGAUUACGUCCCUGCCCUUUGUACACACCGCCCGUCGCACCUACCGAUUGAAUGGUCCGGUGAAAUCUCGGGACGGCGGCUUGGUCGCUUGCGUCCGACUGCUGAAACUUGACUAAACCAUAUCAUUUAGAGGAAGGUGAANUCGUAACA
rnacentral:rRNA from 1 species